rnacentral:lncRNA from 1 species
GCGAGGCGUCCCCUCGGCGGCCGCCUCAGUUUCCCUGGCCGUAAAACGCGGGCGAUGGCGCUCGAUGCCCCGGGAGACGCCGGGGUCCGCGGGCCCUUCCGGCACCGGGUCCUCCUUCAGGUUCGGGCACCCGGCUGCCUCCACGCGGGGCGAGCGCGGCGAUGGGAUCGGUCCGUGCUGCGCUCAGCCCCGCUUUCGCUAUCCCUCUGCUCCAGGGGCAGCAAAAUCAGCAGAUGAGCCCCCAGCGCGCCUGCGGCCCACACACUGCGGCCGUAACAGUUAAACAGACGGGGAACAUUCAUGUGCGUAGAGCUCUUCACGGGGCGAUACAGAAAUGUGUCGUUCUAAAGCGUUAACGACCUGCAAUUUGCAUAUCCUCCAACACAUGGAUUUUACUGAUUCAAUUAUGGAUGUGUGCAAAGAAUCUGCUGCUCGCUAUAUGGGAACACUUUCAGUUUCCCAAGUUAAAACAUGAAAUUGCACAUCAUCAUUUGGAUCCCCAAAGAGGAAAAGAAAAAUUCACAACCUGCCAGUGAAAUACUCAGGCCACUUGGAUGAAGACCGAGGUCCUCCAUAGAAUCCAGGUGUUAUUUACUAACUAAUCAGAAAUUAAUAUCAAAAUAGGACUUAAAAAUAACAAGGCUGUGUUAUUACAGCAGUCUUUCCAGUUGUGUACGCUUUACUAAUCUAAAUUGGGUAACAGAACUGGAGAAAAGGAAGACUACACAGACUUAUCAUAAGCUGUUAGUGAACGUGAUAGAAAUGCGUAAUUUGUUAAAGCGAAUUACAGCUCUGAUUUGUCAAAUGAGGAGGUGAAUUAUCCUAGGAUUUGCUAUGCUGUUGUGGCGUUAGAAGAUUGGAUCUUUAGCAGCAAAGGUAACCUCAACAAUAUUUUCUGCUUAAGAAAGUGCCUUGGUUAAGGUAGACCGUGAUAUCGUCUUUGACUAAGCUCUCUGGGCUAUUGAUUCUGUCAUAUUCCAAAGGCAGUAUUGGUUUGAAGCCGAAUCUCACGGUCAAUGUCAACAUGCAAUCCACAAAGACCCUGGCGCCCUUCCACGGUAUGCACUAACCAAAACUUUCUCACUGUGAAAUCCUUUUUUUAAAAACAAGAAAACAAAAAACAAAAACCAAAAAACCUUACUGUGAAUCCUUUCCCAAGGAAUGGUCCCACCUUCACCUCGGAAAGAGGCGUGGCUUGCUCUGUAAGCAGGUCCACCCUGAGGAGACCGCUGGUGCAAGAGCCCUGCUUGCAGAACACACAGGGGGUUUUCCCACAUUCUUACUGGAGUCAGAUUCGGCAAAGCAUUUCAAGCAACUGCUGGACACUUCAAAUACCACUCCCUGUUAACAACGCCCUGAGUAUCUCACUGUCUCCAGGAUCUGGUUUAAAGGGAAACACAGAAAUGGCCAACAGCUCCCUCCCCAGGCAGGACUGCGAUUUCACAGACAACCUAUAGGCAUCCCCAGUCUGGUGAAUAAACAGGAGAGUGAGAGGAAAACAGCAAUCAUUCAACUCCAGUAGAUGUAAAGCCUCCAGAAGAAUGUGUCCCGGGAAGGUCAGAAAUGUCAUUUUUUUCCUCCAGCACAUUUCAUCUGCCACAUUCCGCCGUCCGAUGUUUGAGGAAGGAGCCCCGCCUUUCCUUCAGGGGUUCUUGUCGCCAAGUUUGAUGGUGACAGUUUUCACUUCUGUGUAUUCGGCCAAAGCGUAUUCACCUCUGUGAUCACAGAAAAGAGGAAAAUUCAAAAUGGGUACAUCCCUUAGCCAUUGUGUAGAAACUGUUCUGAGGCUUCAUCAUUCCAUCAGGCCGUUGGAGGCUUAUGCAAAAGGUUAAAAUGUGACGACCUCAUGGAAUAAUAGCCAGGACUAUAACAGCACUAGUAAGUGUCAGUAGCUGCAUAUGUGACUUAAAUGUAAAUAUCAAGGUCUUCUUCUGUGUGAUGCUUUUGAAAUGGCCAGGACUAAGGGUUUCCCUUUAGAGAAUGAAGGGGAUUUUAAAAAAAGUAAAGAGGUGAAUUCCCUGGGGUGGCAAUAGAGAGCAAAACGAGAGAGCCUGGUGGACGGUGGGGUGUCUGUGAACGAGGGAGGGGCAGAAAUUACACUGGGUUGAUAACUUUUAGAUGGCAAUUGGGAGCUGCUUGAAGAGGAGACAGAAGAGGCAGAGGCCCAAAGCUAUUGGCUGGGGAUGUGGCCAGAGGACCAGUGGGAAGAACACCAAGGGCCUGAAGCUGGCCUCAGAGUGCACAGCUGGGGACCAGCUGUCAGGCAGUGAGGCCAGCCUAGGGGGCAUGAGAGAAGCAGACGUUAGCACAGAGUGGACAUGGGGAGGCCACAGCUUUUGGGUUCACAUCCUUGGUAUAGUUCCUUUCUUUAAAUCUUGCAGGGCUCAGGUGAUCCUUCCCUGGCACCAUGGGCCGUCUUCAGGGUAGCUUCCCUUCCAAGACCCAAGAGGCAGCUUUGGAGAGAUUUAAAUCCUUCUAAGCGCUUGAUCUGCUGUCAGGUGAAGAAAAAUGUGUGCUUGUUUAGGAAGAGAUGAAGGUAGAGGUGGCCACUGGAGUCUCUGUAGUUAAAAAGACCUGUGACAGAAUCCCAUCUCCUCCCUUAGAUCAAUGGUUCUCAAAGUGUGGUCCCCAGACCAGCAGCAUCAGCCUCACCUCUGAACUUGCUAGAAAUGUAGAUUCUCAGGCCUCCCCCAGCCCUACUAUCGUAGGCAGAAUAAGGAUCUCCCCAGGUAUCCAAAAUUGGAUCCCCCAAACCUGUGAAUAUGUUGGGCUACAGAGUGAAGAAUUAAUGUUGCAGAUGGAAUUCAAGUUACUAAUCAAUUGACUUUAAAAGAGGGAGACUCUCCUGGAUCAUCCAGGCAGACCCAGUGUAAUCACAAGGGUCCCCAAAACUGGCAGAAGAAGAGAGGCAGAGCAAAAUGAGAUUAUAGAAACAGGUUCAGAGAGCAGCAGUGCUGGCUUUGAAGAUGGAGGAUGGGGCCACCAGCCUAGGAAUGCGAGCAGCCUCUAGAGGAUGGAAAAGGCAAGGAAGUAGAUUCUCUCCUGAGAACCUCCAAAAAGGAAUGAAGCCCUUGAUUUUAGCUCAGGGAGACCUGUGUCAGAUUUUUAUCCUACAGAACUAUAAGAUAAUAGAUUUAUGUUAUUUAAGCCACUGAUGUUAUGGUAACUUCUUGCAGGAGCAAUAAAAGACUAAUAAACUUACUGAAUC